GCGGGCGUGGCGGAGUUGGCAGACGCAGGGAACUUAAAAUUCCCCGGGCGAGAGCCCGCGUGGGUUCGAAUCCCACCGCCCGCACCG
rnacentral:tRNA from 1 species